GCAGUACUCCCUCCGUCCGGAAAUACUUGUCGGAGAAAUGGAUGUAUCUAGAUGUAUUUUAGUUUUAGAUACAUCCAUUUUGAUUCAUUUUUGCGACAAGUAAUUUCGGACGGAGGGACUAGUAA
rfam:Triticum aestivum genome assembly, contig: Triticum_aestivum_CS42_TGACv1_scaffold_159560_2DL